UUCUGCUAGAAGCACUCCUAUCACCAGUUGCCUUUAUCCAAAGAUUAUGCUCUAAAUCAAUUCUAAAUGUUUAAUUUUUUUAUUUUUGGUAGUUGGUUACCAGACAAAGCUUCAAGACUCCUUACGGAUGAGAUAGAAAAACUAUUUAAAGACUCACCUACUUGGGGCCAGAUGUCACCAAAUCGCCAGAGACAGAUCUAUUAUGCAUUUAAGGAAAAAUGUGUCUGGCGCCCGGAACAUGAGAAGCAGCUAGCCUAAAACUUCAAGAAGAAAGCUCAGCGCUUACUAAGUGACAUGUUAGGAAGGGUUCGCGAAUCUAAUAAGAAGCCCAAGUGGAUCCUUCCUGAAAACUAUGCCAAGCUACUUCAUUACUGGGCAACUAAUGAAAGAUUCUUACAACUAAGUGACAUAGGGAAGAAGGCUAGAAAUUCGACGAAAGGUGGCUCCCUACACACUAGUGGGGCUAUGAGCCAAGAGGCCGUGAGGAGGAAGCUGGCAAGUCUACCUUAAGUGUACUUAAUCAAUAUCAACAUUCAAAGGCGGAGUUUCUUCGUACUCAGCCACCCAACACACAACUGAUAGAAGAACAAAGGGAGGAAAGGUGGCUUGCGAGUGUUGGUGGUCCCACUAGGUUUGGCAUAGCUUACGGAAUGCCACAUCAUGCAUUUCGUCAAUACCGGUCGCCCCUGGAAGGCCUACAUUCUUCCAAUACCGAGUCGUUUGAUAGAGUGAGUGCUAUGGCCAUGGAGCAAAAGAUUGCCGGGCUAUCUAGCCAACUACAGGACUCAGAGGAAAGGGAGAGGCGAAGGGAUAUGCAGUUUGACGGUAUGAGGGCCCAAUUAGACGCAUUACUUGCUUCGAGGGGGAUUCCCUCAUGUGCUGAUGAUGCUCGUAACCCCCAUACUCAAUCUAGUGGUGCGGAUGAUGAUGGGACUCACGUGUCAAACACACAAAGGCAUGUUUGAAUGUUAAUGUUGUGGUGGAUUUGUGGAUUGUGUAAGUGUUUUGUGGAUGUUUGCGAGGGGUGAAGUAGUCUAGUGUUGUAGACUAACUUAGUGUAGAUUAGUUUAAUGUUUUGUGGAUGUUUGCAAAGUUUGAAGUAGUUUAAUGUCUCUUUUGAAUGUUUGAAUGACGUUUUGAUUCAACUUUAAAGUAGUUUCGAAUUGAAUUUGAUGUAUUGGUGGUUGUAGUAUAUGUGUUUGUUGAAGUAACUUAA